CCGAGUUUACAAACUCCCAAACCCUUGUGAACCUUACCGUAUCUGUUGCCUUCGGCGGGAUCAGCCCCGCUCCCUCGGUAAACCGGGACCAGGCGCCCGCCAGAGGACCCCUAAACCCUCAUGUCUUAUAUGUUUAACUCCUCUGAGUAACACAUAACAAUAAAUAA
rnacentral:misc_RNA from 1 species